AUGUUAAAUUGAAGUCAACUCGUUCCAUGUUAAACUGAAGUCAACUCGUCCCAUGUUAAAUUGAAGUCAACUCGUCCCAUGUUAAACUGAAGUCAACUCGUCCCAUGUUAAAUUGAAGUCAACUCGUCCCAUGUUAAAUUGAAGUCAACUCGUCCCAUGUUAAACUGAAGUCAACUCGUCGCAUGUUAAAUUGAAGUCAACUCGUCCCAUGUUAAAUUGAAGUCAACUCGUAUUUAAUGCUCAAAUAGCAGUAUGACACUGUCUGUGUAGUUUUGUGGGGAAAGCACAGCUAGUGUACAUCAUAUGAACAGGGACACAAGACUUUAGUAACUGGCUACGACUGCCAGAUUCCCAAGUCGUGCCCCCCUUUACAAUCAAAGCACCAUGUUGUCUCAGGUCAGAUACGUGUGUAGAUGUAUGUGUGUUAACAGCGUCAUCUCAGCAUCCACAAACAUUGAGUUUGAUUUCAUCACCUUAUUGGCAAUGUAUUGCUCAUCGUUGCAGCAAGGUAAAGUAUUGUCUUAGAGUUGGAAGUUCAGCUGUUGAUAGCAAAGUAGGCUGGAAAUAAUUACUCUCCGUUUUGUGGAUUUAAUUGUAUCGAUGAUUUAUUUCUCAAGUAUGGAAUACAAAUUUAAAUGCACAUAAAACAGAAAGCGUUCAGUUAUUGAAUGAAAGAACUUUUCAUUAGAUAAUUAAUGUUUUAGAUUAUUUCAGUCUAAUGCAGUAGUAAAUAUAUCAGCUAGUGGAUAGUUAAAAACACAUGAACUUGUGGAAAGUAAGGCAUGUCCGCUUGUGGAAAGUGUGACAUGUCAGUCAGUGAAUAGUGGGAUAUAACAACCUGUGGAUAGUGUGACAUGUCAGUAAGUGAAUAGUGGGAUAUAACAACCUGUGGAUAGUGUGACAUGUCAGUAAGUGAAUAGUGGGAUAUAACAACCUGUGGAUCGUGAGACAUGUCAUUCAGUGAAUAGUGGCAUAUAUCAACCUGUUGAUAGUGAGACAUGUCAGUAAGUGAAUAGUGGCAUAUAUCAACCUGUGAAUAGUUGGACAUGUCAGUUAAUAGCGGAACAUGUCAAAUAGAUGAUUGUUAGACAUGUCAGCUAGUGAAUAUACAGAGGAUGGUAGCCUUGUGGUAUACGACGGGCAUGAACACAAUAUUUGAAACUGUGUUUCACGGCCGUGAUUGUGCUGAAAUAUUGACCAAGGCGUCGAGGAAUCUGACUCGCUGACUCACGUUUUACUUUUGAUCACGUGACCGAGACACAUUACACGUGACAGUGAGCUACGAGGUAUAAUAAGGCACUAUGGUUCACGGAAAUGUUAAAAAUGUAAUACAACAUUGUAUAAUAACUGCCAAUUCCAUCACUUGCCAGGUUUUGACUUGAUGUCAAACACAGAAGUAUUGCCCAAAUGAACCCUUCUGAUGACCCUCAGGAGAAUGUCUAAAUGUGUUCAUUAGUGAUCAGAUAAUAUUCAGUUUUAGUGGACCAAAAUCAUAUCAUAAACUGUAUCAUAGGUCGUCCCUUCUAAUCCACUGCCGCGAUGCUGGCUCUAUCGUAUACUGAGAGAAAUAAAAAAAGGAACACAGGGAAUUUUCCAGUUCAUCACCAGCUUUGAUUAGCGCUGUGGGAGGAAUUCUGAGAAUACAUAAACACUGACAUGAAGCGAUGUUCCGUUAUUUGUUUCCCUCAGUAUAUAUGUUUUUAGUGGUUUACUAAUAACACAGAAAUGUCCCCUUGACAGUGUCAUGAACACUGUUGGUUAGGAUUGGCUUACAUGAUCGAUAAUCGGAAAUAUCGUCGAUAGGAAAAAUAUGAUUAAUCAUUGAUUCGAUGUGAAAUUUGUAUUAUCGAUAAUAUCGUACAUUAACAUUUGUAAUAGAAAAAAGGUUUUAAUUUUCUCACACAUAUGCAACUUUAGAACUUUAUGUAUGGUCUGCUUCUAAAUUAUGUUCAGGACACUGUUUUGUAAAUAAUCCAUUGCAAAACAUGCCACCACACACAAGUGAUGUAAAUAUAUAUUAAUUAAUUUAAGAUAUUUUUGGUAUUUUACGUUUCCGAUAUGUAUCGAUAAUCGAUCGAUAUUUAGUAAAUGAUUAUCUAUGAUCUAUAUCGAUAGCCAGUCCUACUGUUGCUUGCUCAGGACGUCAGGGACUCACUGCCAUAUCUUGUUCAGUAUUGGGUUUUACGUAUUUUCAAGAAAUGUUGGUGUCUUGUGCUACGAACUGUGGCUUUGUGUUCUUUGCUUGUACAUGUUCAUAUAAACGUACCGUAAUAUUCAUAUGAGCAGUUUUUGCUCUGAUGAUGUAUAAAUAAUAUAAUCCAUAUGCAACUGACUUCGUCAAUAAAAGAAGACUGAUGA
rnacentral:lncRNA from 1 species